rnacentral:rRNA from 1 species
AAUAGAUACCCCGGUAGUCCACGCCCUAAACGAUGCGAACUGGAUGUUGGUCUCAACUCGGAGAUCAGUGUCGAAGCAAACGCGUUAAGUUCGCCGCCUGGGGAGUACGGUCGCAAGACUGAAACUCAAAGGAAUUGACGGGGGCCCGCACAAGCGGUGGAGUAUGUGGUUUAAUUCGAUGCAACGCGAAGAACCUUACCUGGCCUUGACAUGUCCGGAAUCCUGCAGAGAUGCGGGGAGUGCCUUCGGGGAAUCGGAACACAGGUGCUGCAUGGCUGUCGUCAGCUCGUGUCGUGAGAUGUUGGGUUAAGUCCCGCAACGAGCGCAACCCUUGUCCUUAGUUGCCAGCGAGUAAAGUCGGGAACUCUAAGGAGACUGCCGGUGACAAACCGGAGGAAGGUGGGGAUGACGUCAAGUCCUCAUGGCCCUUACGGCCAGGGCUACACACGUACUACAAUGGUCGGUACAGAGGGUUGCAAUACCGCGAGGUGGAGCCAAUCCCAGAAAGCCGAUCCCAGUCCGGAUUGGAGU